rnacentral:rRNA from 1 species
AAUCAACGCUGGCGGCGUGCCUCAGACAUGCAAGUCGAACGCGAAAGUUUCCUUCGGGAGACAAGUAGAGUGGCGCACGGGUGAGUAACACGUAGGUAAUCUACCUUUGGAUGGGGAAUAACAACCGGAAACGGUUAGCUAAUACCGCAUAAUGCAAGCGGCACCCUAAAUGGUGACAGUUGUUAAAAGCGGGGGAUCGAAAGACCUCGCGUCUGAAGAGGAGCCUGCGGCGGA